rnacentral:rRNA from 1 species
GACGAACGCUGGCGGCGUGCUUAACACAUGCAAGUCGAACGGAAAGGCCCUGCUUUUGUGGGGUGCUCGAGUGGCGAACGGGUGAGUAACACGUGAGUAACCUGCCCUUGACUUUGGGAUAACUUCAGGAAACUGGGGCUAAUACCGGAUAGGAGCUCCUGCUGCAUGGUGGGGGUUGGAAAGUUUCGGCGGUUGGGGAUGGACUCGCGGCUUAUCAGCUUGUUGGUGGGGUAGUGGCUUACCAAGGCUUUGACGGGUAGCCGGCCUGAGAGGGUGACCGGCCACAUUGGGCCUGGGAUACGGCCCAGACUCCUACGGGAGGCAGCAGUGGGGUAUAUUGCACAAUGGGCGGAAGCCUGAUGCAGCAACGCCGCGUGCGGGAUGACGGCCUUCGGGUUGUAAACCGCUUUCGCCUGUGACGAAGCAUGAGUGACGGUAAUGGGUAAAGAAGCACCGGCUAACUACGUG